AUACAGGGAACUCCUAGAGUGCUGCUAGAAAAAUCCAGCAGCUGCCCAGCUGUCUCUUCAGUGUUCUGAAGAUUCCCAGCUGAUGCUGGAAAGGUCUGAUUUGCUCCCCAGUAACACCACUCCUAAACAUGCUGUCAGGAAUUGAUGGAAGGAUUCAGCAGCAGGCAAAGCAUCACAGUGUGAAGCCAGGUCCAAAUGGCAAAGCAACAUAUGCAUGGCCUUGUCUCCAGUCUGGGGAGUCUUUGUUGGCUUCCCUUGGUGUGUUACACAUUUCCCAGCUCUACCCAAGAGUAAAUCUGCUGGUUAACACUGGCUCCUCCUGCUCCUACAGCUGAGAGAAAAGGCUUCAGAGGCAUUCUCGUGGUGCUUUUACAGCACCUUCCCUAACCACGUGGAAAAGAGCUGCUGCAGGUAUAAAUUGAGUUGAAUUUGUGAUUUACAUUCAGCCUUACAGUGUAUUUCACAUU